rnacentral:rRNA from 1 species
UACGGGGGGGGCAAGCGUUGUUCGGAAUUACUGGGCGUAAAGGGUUCGUAGGUGGCCAACUCAGUCAGACGUGAAAUCCCUCAGCUCAACUCGGGAACUGCGUCCGAUACUGGCAGGCUUGAAUCCGGGAGAGGGAUGCGGAAUUCCAGGUGUAGCGGUGAAAUGCGUAGAUAUCUGGAGGAACACCGGUGGCGAAGGCGGCAUCCUGGACCGGAAUUGACGCUGAGAAGCGAAAGCGUGGGGAGCAAACAGG